AGAGUUUGAUCCUGGCUCAGAACGAACGCUGGCGGCGUGCCUAACACAUGCAAGUCGAGGGAGAAAGCCGCAAGGCAAGUAAACCGGCGAACGGGUGCGUAACACGUGGACAACCUACCUCGAUGACCGGGACAACUGGCCGAAAGGCUUGCUAAUACCGGAUAAGCCCACGGUGUCAAAGGAUGCUGAGGGAAAAGGCG
rnacentral:rRNA from 1 species